rnacentral:lncRNA from 1 species
AAGAUUCUUCAGAAUGUUCAAAAAGUUGGUUGCAAGAGGUUAUCUCUGUCGCCCAAUGAUCAUAAAUUUCAGGUCAAAAAAUCCCUCUUUAUCAGUUUACGUCAGAUAUGCGCUUCUUAUUAUAAAACUCUUUGAAAGUCCUGAGAGUUCUCAGUUUUAGAAUAAUCGUCACAGAAGUGCAAGUGGAAUUUUUGUGAAAGUUCCAAAUAUUUUUAUGUGUCAAUGAGAAUUUUUGAGUUUUUAUUAAACUCUAGAAACCAGGGAAUAAGUUUGGAUAGAAAUUUAGGCACAAAAAAAGACAGCAAGAGAGGUAACUCCGGAAACUACAAGGAACAACAAAUCCUUACCAGAAUACAUCACGUACCGUAGAUUUUUGUUCCGCCGUUCUAACCUUAAGCGUAUUCAAGAUGGUAGUAACCAUUUACUCAGCCCCUAAAAAAGCCUCUGACAGUUGGUGUGUCACCCCAAACAACUUCGACGACAAGAAGGAAAAAUCAAACUCUUUCCAAUCCAAGAAAGAUAUCAAACCACAACCGAAGGCAAACUCCUACGGAGCUUGGGGACCAACUUUUAAAAAUAAAGAUCACUUUGCUAGCCUUCAUUAUUGUUAGUCUAUAAGAUUUUGUACGAAAUUUAAAUGUAUGUGGUUGGAUAUGUAACUUAGAGGCUUAGUAAUAAAUAUAUUUUUCUAAAUUUGUAAAUUUCAUUGAUUUCAAUUGGAAUGUAAAGUUAAUUAAAGUAUUUGGGGACAAAA